ACCAUUGAAAUUUGUGGCCACCAACUGUUUGAUCAAAUGAGCCUUGGACUCCUAUGGGAUACAAAACAACAGAAACCUACCUGAUCCAAUCUUUUCUAGCACUCUCUAGCUAGCUAAAAUGGCCACACCCUCAAACACCAACUUUAACUCCCAUAUAUCAGGAAAACAGAGCAUUAACCAAAAAGCUUUAGCUGCAGAACAGUUUCCUUGGUGGUUUUCACCCGAAACAGGAAUUUACCAGAGCAAACACCUUUCCAUUGACCACCCAUCAGACCCUUUUCUUGAUAUUGUCUCCUUCAUUUUCCCACACCAGCAUGAUGGGGUUUCCUCAGCUCUCAUUGGUUCCUCUUGUGGGUCUGCAAUAUCUUACUCACAGCUCUACUCUUCUGUCAAGUCCAUGGCCUCUGGCCUCCGGCCUCCAGCAAAUGGGAAUCUCACAAGGUGAUGUUGUUUUGCUUCUUUUGCCAAAUUCCAUUUACUAUCCCAUUGCUUUCUUGGGUGUUUUGUACCUUGGUGCUAUUGUCACAUCCAUGAAUCCCCUCAGCAGUGUAGCAGAAAUCAAGAAACAGAUUGCUGAUACCAAAGCAUGUCAUGCUUUUACUGGACCUGAGAAUGCUGAUAAAUUACAGGCAUUGGGCAUUCCUGCAAUUCUGGUUCCAGAAAAUGCACUUUCGGGUUCUUUGAAGGACAUUUUUUCGGUUUUUUAUAAGCUUAUUUAUAGUAGGUGUUAUUUGGCUCUAAGGCCAGUGAUUAAGCAGCGCGACACUGCUGCAAUAAUGUAUUCGUCCGGGACUACUGGUGUAAGCAAAGGUGUUAUGAUAACACAUAGGAAUUUCAUAGCUACAGUAGCCCAUUUUGUGCGUUUUGAGGCUUCACAGUAUGAGGGUUCAAGCUUGGAUAAUGUGUAUUUAGCUGUUCUGCCAUUGUUUCAUAUCUACGGGUUGUCGCUUUUCGUGAUGGGGUUGUUGUCUUUAGGAUCUAGAGUUGUUGUGAUGAAGAGAUUUGAUGUCAAUGAGGUGAUCAAGGCAAUUGAUAGGUAUAAAGUUACACACUUCCCAGUUGUUCCACCAGUAUUGACAGCAUUGACAAAAAGAGCCAAUGAUAGCUUGGCCCCUCAUAGCCUCAAGAGUUUAAAACAGGUUUCUUGUGGUGCAGCUCUGUUGAGCAUGAAAACCAUAGAGGACUUUGUUCAAACCUUUCCUCACAUUGAUCUCAUUCAGGGCUACGGCAUGACUGAGACCACCGCGGUAGGAACUCGUGGUUUCAACACCGAAAAGCUUAGGAAACCCUCUUCAAUAGGGCUUUUAGCUCCAAACAUGCAAGCUAAAGUGGUGGACUGGAACACUAGAUCCCCUCUGCCUCCAACAAGUACCGGUGAGCUAUGGCUACACGGACCGGGGAUUAUGAAGGGCUACUUGAACAAUGCCAAGGCAACAUUGUCAACAAUUGAUGAAGAGGGCUGGCUACACACUGGAGACAUUGUGUUUUUUGAUGAAGAUGGAUACUUACAUCUACAAGACCGCUUAAAAGACGCGAUCAAAUAGAAGGGCUUUCAGCUUGCUCCUGCAGAUUUAGAAUGUGUGCUGAUCAACCAUCCUGAGAUACUUGAUGUUGCUGUGGCAGGUGCCAUGGAUGAAGAAAGUGGAGAGUUGCCUGUGGCUUUUGUGGUGAGGAAGCACAGAAGUGAACUAAACCAUGAUGCUGUCAUGGAUUUUGUGGCUGCACAAGUUGCUCCAUACAAGAAGGUCAGGAAGGUGGUGUUUGUAGAUUCAAUUCCAAAGUCUCCAGCUGGGAAGAUCCUAAGAAGGGAGCUUAGGAAGUUUUUGAAUUCUAGACUCUAGGACAAGUUAGAUUGUCUUCAGGUUUUUGGAGUGGGGUUUUAUCACAUUUUCUCGGGAAACCAAACAAAAACAAGGAGAGAUAAAAACAAGGAAGUUCGAAUAAAUAACAGACCUUUCCAGUGCCGGCCAUGGCGACGAUGCCUCUGGAGGCUUUGCGGGAGGAGGAAGAGAGGCAGAGCUGGGAGUGAAGGUGUUGGAAGAGGGAGAGAGACUGGGUGUGGUCCAACUUGGAGCCCGAUCGUCGCAGACCGGAGUAAGAGGAGACGGAUUUAGGGCCAGAGAGUUGGGAAGCGAGAGAUGUGGAGGCCACCGCCAUGACUGACUCAGUGAGUUGGA